AGACGUAGGAUGCAAGCGUUAUCCGGAAUCAUUGGGCGUAAAGAGUCCGUAGGUGGUAUGUUAAGUUGGAUGUUAAAUUUUUGAGCUCAACUCAAAAAAUGUGUCCAAAACUGGCAAACUGGAGACAGGUAGAGGCAAGUGGAAUUCUGCAUGUAGGGGUAAUAUCCGUAGAUAUGCAGAGGAACACCAAAAGCGAAGGCAGCUUGCUGGACCUGUUCUGACACUAAAGGACGAAAGCGUGGGGAGCAAACGGGAUUAGAUACCCCGGUAGUCC
rnacentral:rRNA from 1 species